ACGGGAGGCAGCAGUGGGGAAUAUUGCACAAUGGGGGAAACCCUGAUGCAGCGAUGCCGCGUGAAGGAUGAAGGGUUUCGGCUCGUAAACUUUUAUCGAUAGUGAAGAAACAAAUGACGGUAACUAAGUAAGAAGCUCCGGCUAACUAUGUGCCAGCAGCCGCGGUAAUACAUAGGGAGCAAGCGUUAUCCGGAUUUACUGGGUGUAAAGGGUGCGUAGGCGGCAUGGUAAGUCAGUCGUUAAAGACCAGAGCUUAACUCUGGACCAGCGAUUGAAACUAUCAAGCUAGAGUACAGGAGAGGUUAGUGGAAUUCCUAGUGUAGCGGUGAAAUGCGUAGAUAUUAGGAGGAACACCAGUGGCGAAGGCGGCUUACUGGACGAUAACUGACGUUGAGGCUCGAAAGCGUGGGGAGCAAACAGGAUUAGAUACCCUGGUA
rnacentral:rRNA from 1 species